rnacentral:lncRNA from 1 species
ACAUAUACUAAAUUACCAAUUUUAAUCAUUUUUAUUUAAAUAGAUACAAAUAUUAAAUUAUUUUUAUAUAAUUUUUAUUUACUUAAUAAUUAGACUGAUAAAAUAAUAUAAAAAGUAAAAACAUAUAAUUUAAAAUUUAUUAUUAAAAUAUUUUUAUAUCUACCAAUUUUAAUCAUUUUUAUUUAAAUAGAUACAAAUAUUAAAUUAUUUUUAUAUAAUUUUUAUUUACCUAAUAAUUAGACUGAUAAAAUAAUAUAAAAAAUAAAAACAUAUAAUUUAAAAUUUAUUAUUAAAAUAUUUUUAUAUAUACAGCA